rnacentral:lncRNA from 1 species
CAAAUGCUCAUACAAUUGUUCUCUCAACUCUUUCCUUAGUCUUUUUUUUUCAUAUUUACCAUCCAUGUGUACAGCACAAAAUUCAAACAAUUUUAUGCUAGGUAUAUUUGCAUUGUAUGUUUGGAUGUUUGUUUUGUAUGCUGGGCAUGUAUGAAUUAUAUGCAAAUCACUCAUUCACUCCAAUAGCCAAGCCACCUCAGAGUUACUUAUAUGCUGCAUCACCACACUGUUUUUCCUCUCGUACUUCUUUCAUAUUUAAUUUGGAACAGAAUCAUAAUGUAUCACUCCAGCCUCAUAUCAAGUAUCUCUGUUGUACUCAAAUGCUUUGUCUUUUACACUACAUCCAGAUAUCAUUUUCAUACAUUGACAUCAGAAUCAGUAUAUAUUGAUAUACAGUCAUCCUAACAUCCUUUGACAGAUUCUCAUUCCUAGCAUAUGUCUCAAACACAUCUAUAAUUUUCUAGCAUUUGAUCUGACAAUCUUAUCAUCAAUGUGAGCUUCUUUCAAAUAUAUUUCUUAAAAGAUACAAACUCUUAAUCUGCUCCCAGUUCAUACUGUUCAGUUCAAUUUCAUACC